AUAUGUUACUGUUUGCUAAACAAAGAUAAAUUCUGUAUGAAAUGUUUUCAAUAUGUGUAUGAAAUUUAUAUUUAUUUUUGUAGAUAUAUUGUUUGUGAAUGAAUUAUGUAUUAUGUUAGUAUUUAGUAUAUUUUGAAUAUAUGUUACUAUUUGGUAAAUGAAGUUAAAUUUUGUAUGAAAUGUUUUCAAUAUGUGUAUGAAAUUUGUAUUUAUUUUUUGUAGAUAUUCUGUUUGUGAAAAUAAUGUAUAUAUGUCAUGGGAUGAUGAAAUGCAUAUUGAUUGUGUAUGAAAUGGGUAUGAAUUUAUGAUUUUAUGUGUAUGAGCUAUCUUUUCAAAGUAAUUUCGGUAUGAUAUAGUUUUUUGAAAGGUAUAAUAAGUGUGUAAGAAUGGUGUAUAAAAUAUUUUGUAAUUAAUAUAUAUUAUGUUGUACUAAUUUUUAUUUUAAUGUUGUGAAACAAGUAAAUAUGUCGAUUUUCAGAUGGAGGGCAUCAUAUAUGAUGCAUCUACUCUGUAUAGUGAUCUAGUUAGUGCGAUAAUAUCACAACUUAAUAUAGAUGUUACCAGUGGCGGACCCAGGAUUUUCGUUCAGGAGGUUCGAAAUGUCUUUCGGAAUGGGCCUUUUGAAGUUUUUUGAGUUUAAAAUCACACUUUUGGCACGUUUUUAAAAUAAAAAAUGCUUGAAAAGCAGAAUUGGUUUUAUUAAACAAAAAUAAAGUGAAACUAUAAAGGAAAAUAAAUAAAUGUUGCAGGAAUUCGAACUUAGGAUGUGCAGCUUAAUAUUCAAGGAUCUUACCAUUGAGCCAUCUAUAUUUAUUUGUUAUUGAGGAGGUUCAAAAUAUAUGCAUCUACAGAAAUAUAAAAAAUUUACCUUAUAUAUAUCAUGUAUUAUUUUGCCGAGGGUGUUCAGGUGAACACACUGGACCCAACGUGGAUCCACCCCUGAAUGUUAAUAUAAGUGCUAUUGAGAUAAAAUAUAUUAUUAGCGAUAUGUGUCCACCUAUUAGUAUUUACAAUGAUGUCGGGAUAAACGUUUUUCCAGAUCAAAAGAGAGUAAAUUUAGAUUUCUUUACAAAAUAUCCAUUGUGCAUCUCUUUGAAAGAUUGUGAGAUAUAUAAUCUAGAUUCUGGAGUUAUUACUGAUAGAAUAAAUUCUGAAGUUAGUUUAACACAAACUAACGUUGAUUUAUACUCUAACAAUUUUAUCCGUUUGACCGGAGUGAAUUUAGACGAAUAUGUCGAUGAGAAUAGUGAAGGAGAUAAUGACGUAAUAAGUGACCAUUCCAACCUAUUUGUAGCUGAGAAUCAGAUUUACAAUAAUAGGGAAACACUUAAGGAGGUGAUGAGGCAUGUUGGACUUGUCGAAAAAUUUAAUUUUCGUGUAGCGCGUUCUAAUGCAUCUAAGUAAGUACAUGUCAUUGUUUUAAUUUAUGUUUUUUAUUUGAUUUGUUUUGCUUUAUAAAAUUUAAAUGUAUAUUUUUUUAUUUGUUAAACAGUUAUCACAUGAUUUGUCUUUCUGAGAGUUGUUCUUGGAUGAUGAGAGCAUCUAGUUUGAAUAAAUCAAGUUUAUUCAAAGUUAGGAAGUACAAUGUUGAACACACUUGUUCUGUUAGAGAUAGAGUGUAUGCAAGACGUUAGGGGAUAACUGACGUUGUAGCUUUCUUAAUAAUGGAUAAGUAUAUUGAUCCAUCUACCGUAUACACUCCAAAGGAUAUAGUUGAUGAUAUGUUGAAAUUGCAUGGUGUUUCGCUAACAUACAUACAGGCGUGGAGAGCUAGAGAAAAAGCAAUAAGAUUGGUGUGUGGAGAUCUGGCCAAAUCAUAUGUCAAACUACCAGGUUAUCUAUACAUAUUGGAGCAAACAUAUCCGGGAUCGGUUUUGAAAAUAGAAAGGAAGGAAUGUGAUAAAUUUCUAUACGCAUUUGUUGCAUUAGAAGCUUGUAUUAGAGGCUGGGAGUAUUGUAGGUAAAUUGUAGUUGUUGAUGGGGCCGGAUUAAAAUGUUCAUAUAGUGGUACAAUGUUCACUGCCAGCACCAUGGAUCCGGGAGGUCAUAUACUUCCGUUGGCGUAUGCGAUAGUGAAUUCUGAAAACGACGCUUCAUGGACCUGGUUCUUUGAACAGUUUAAGGAAGCGUAUGGAGUUAGAAAAAACAUGUGUUUUAUGUCAGAUCGAAAUGAGAGCAUACGGAAAGGGAUUACUACUGUAUAUCCUGAAUGUGAACAUUAUGCCUGUAUAUGGCAACCAUCCGUUAAUAUGUUGAGAAUUUCAAUUGAAAUACUGAAGAUUUGAAGAUUUUAUUUUUUA